rnacentral:lncRNA from 1 species
AAGAAAUGAAAUUAGAAACAAAAAAUACUACAACUGAAAAUUAUUUUUAAACAGUAAACCAAGGCCAUUUUAAUAAUUCCAUUCCGGGACUGAGACAGCAACCCAAAGUCAAAAAGCGCUUUAUACGUUUUACUUCAUCCUGCGCACCUAUCGUCGUCUUAUCCUGCGCACCUAUCGUCGUCUUAUCCUGCGCACCUCACACCGGCUCCAUAGUGAUUCAUUCAAAAUAUCCAGCUCGUUGCUUUUCUCUAUAUCUCAGGCUCUCAGCUAUCUUUCAUGUACGGAUCCAUCAAUUGAACUUCUGUUAUGAGUAUUUUUAUUUUUUAAGUUUUGCAAUAUUUGAGCAACAUUCAGACUAUCAAUCUGAAAUUAACUAGUGGCGGCUUAUGCUCUACGAAAAUUUUACGCUCAAAAAUUAAUUUUAGCUGCAAAAUUUAUAUAAUUUUUUUUUAAUUCACGGGAGGCUGCAACUGAAUUAUGUGUUUCUACUGUAAUUUUGAAUAUUAUUUGAUUUAAUAUGCUUUGUUUGCUUGUUAUUGGUUCGAUCUAGAAUUAUGGUGGCUGAAUUGGAUUGAUUGAACUGUAGCUUGAUAACGUGAACUAUUCACAAUUUCCAUUGCUUAGAUUUUGAAAAGUAUACUGCCAUGUUUUGCUUUAACCUGGCUGCCACUAUUGCGUAUUCUUCUACAUAGAUCAACCCUUCUUACCUGUGUACAUAGAUUUCGUUAAGAGUUAUAAGCAUACAUGGCAUGUUUGGAUGUCCCAUCAAAUUGUUGUAUAUGCGAGAAUGUGGUUGGUAAUGAACUUAUAGCUAUUUGCAAUUAGUUUCAGAAUUUUGAAACGGUGGGUAUACUUGUUCACAACUCAAUCAAAUGAUUUACGCACUCCAGUCGGAUGAUAUAUUCCAUUCUUUUGGUGAUAUCAUGAUUGAAUAUUUGUUAAGGUCUUUUGUUAGAAAAGGUUUUAAUGAUCAUCAUCUAAUCAUCAACAUCUUCAAAUUGUUUAUUCGGCUGCUUCUAACUAAAUUAAAUUGGAAAUUUUGGAAUCAGA